UACGGGGGGGGGUAAGCGUUGUUCGGAAUUACUGGGCGUAAAGGGCUCGUAGGCGGCCAACUAAGUCGGACGUGAAAUCCCUCAGCUUAACUGGGGAACUGCGUCCGAUACUGGAUGGCUUGGAUUUGGGAGAGGGAUGCGGAAUUCCUGGUGUAGCGGUGAAAUGCGCAGAUAUCAGGAGGAACACCGAUGGCGAAGGCAGCUCGCUGGGACGGUACUGACGCUGAGACGCGAAAGCGUGGGGGAGCAAACAGG
rnacentral:rRNA from 1 species